GCCUCUUUAACUUAGUGGUAGAGUAACACUAUGGUAAAGCAUAAGUUGUCGGUUCAUAUCCGAUAAAAGUUU
rnacentral:tRNA from 1 species